rnacentral:rRNA from 1 species
CACGUAGGGGGCAAGCGUUGUCCGGAUUUAUUGGGCGUAAAGAGCUCGUAGGCGGUUCGCUAAGUCGGGUGUGAAACCUCCAGGCUCAACCUGGAGACGCCACCCGAUACUGGUGUGACUCGAGUCCGGUAGGGGAGCGUGGAAUUCCUGGUGUAGCGGUGAAAUGCGCAGAUAUCAGGAGGAACACCAGCGGCGAAGGCGGCGCUCUGGGCCGGAACUGACGCUGAGGAGCGAAAGCGUGGGUAGCAAACAGGAUUAGAUACCCUGGUAGUCCACGCCGUAAACGUUGGGCACUAGGUGUGGGGUCUUAUCAACGGAUUCCGUGCCGUAGCUAACGCAUUAAGUGCCCCGCCUGGGGAGUACGGCCGCAAGGCUAAA